GGGGUUGUGGCUCAGCAGUAGAGUGCUCACCUCCCAUGUGUGAGGGCCUGGGUUCCAUCUCCAGCACCA
rnacentral:tRNA from 1 species